GACGAACCGUGCGAACGUUGUUCGGAAUCACUGGGCAUAAAGGGCGCGUAGGCGGCUUUUCAAGUCAGGGGUGAAAUCCGGCAGCUCAACUGUCGAAGUGCCCUUGAUACUGAUGAGCUCGAGGGAGGUAGGGGUGUGUGGAACUUCCGGAGGAGCGGUGAAAUGCGUUGAUAUCGGAAGGAACGCCGGUGGCGAAAGCGACGCACUGGACCUCUUCUGACGCUGAGGGACGAAAGCUAGGGGAGCGAAUGGG
rnacentral:rRNA from 1 species